rnacentral:rRNA from 1 species
GCGAAGAACCUUACCAGGCCUUGACAUCCAAUGAACGUUCCAGAGAUGGAAUGGUGCCUUCGGGAACCAUGAGACAGGUGCUGCAUGGCUGUCGUCAGCCAACGAUCGGUGAGAUGUUGGGUUAAGUCCCGUAACGAGCGCAACCCUUGUCCUUAGUUACCAGCACGUCAUGGUGGGCACUCUAAGGAGACUGCCGGUGACAAACCGGAGGAAGGUUUUUAGAGACGUCAAGUCAUCAUGGCCCUUACGGCCUGGGCUACACACGUGCUACAAUGGUCGGUACAGAGGGUUGCCAAGCCGCGAGGUGGAGCUAAUCCCACAAAACCGA